CAGAGCCAGGUGCAGGGAC
rnacentral:misc_RNA from 1 species